CUUCACUGGUUCUAUGCUGAAGACGGGAAGCAGAGUCAAUAGCUGCACACCCGCCAUUCAUUGUUGGCACGCGCUUCUUUCAGUUGUUCGCUCCACAAUUCGAAUCAAUCUCUAAUCAAGCUAACAAUCCAAACCCUAAAACCCUAAUCCCACUGGUUAACACCAAAACCCCUUUCACAUUAUAUACCAAUUCCCUAUCAGAUCCCCAAAUUCACGUAAAUCCUUAAGCUUUCAAUUCUCUCUAGGGUUUUCAGAGCUCUGUAACUGCAAAAAAGGAAGUGGGUACUCGUCAAAAUGCUGGGUGGAUUGUACGGAGACCUCCCUCCACCGUCUUCGGCGGAGGAAGAGAAACCCAGCAACACCACGGUGUGGUCGAGCAGCACCAAAAUGGCGCCGCAGACUCUCCGAAAACCCGCAUCCGUUUUCGCUCCGCCGCAGACGAUUCUCAAGUCCCAAAACAAGCCCAAGCCUUCGAAUUUAGCCCAGCCCAAAAUUACAGCAUCACCGGUAAUUGCGACGUCGGUGAUACAAAAUGACAUGGUGCAACCUGCCCUGGUGGGGGUCACGUCGACGGUGCUAGAGGAGUAUGAUCCGGCGAGGCCCAAUGACUACGAGGAGUACAAGAGGGAGAGGAAGAAGAAGGCAAUGGAGGCUGAGAUGAGGCGAGAACUCGAUAGGAGGCGGCAAGAGGAGGAGGAGAAGGAGAGGAGAGAGAGGGAGGAGAGAGAAAGGGAAAGGGAGAGGGAUUUUGGAGAUUCAAGGUUGAAUAUUUCGGGUGAAGAAGCCUGGAGGAGGCGUGCGGCUAUGAGCGGCGGGGCAGUUCCAGCAAUGCCGGCAAUUCCAAGGUCACCGUCUCCUCCUAAUAAUGGAGAUGGUUUUACCAUUGGGAAGUCGGAGAGUGGCGGGUUGGGGUUAGGGGCUGGCGGCCAAAUGACCGCAGCACAGAGAAUGAUGGCGAAGAUGGGGUGGAAGCAGGGGCAAGGGCUUGGGAAGCAGGAGCAGGGGAUCACUACUCCCUUGAUGGCCAAGAAAACGGAUAGGAGAGCCGGGGUGAUUGUGAAUGCCAGUGAAACAAAGCCGGAGAAGAAGGCGAAGAGUGUCAGCCUUAAUGGGCCACCCACCAGGGUUUUGCUGCUUAGAAACAUGGUGGGCCCUGGCGAGGUGGAUGAUGAGUUGGAAGAUGAGGUAGCAUCAGAGUGUGCAAAGUAUGGGACAGUGACCCGGGUGCUUAUAUUUGAGAUAACGGAGCCAAAUUUCCCGGUGGAUGAGGCAGUGAGAAUCUUUGUGCAGUUUGAGAGGUCUGAAGAAACGACUAAAGCAUUGGUCGACCUUGAUGGUCGAUACUUUGGAGGUAGGGUGGUUCGCGCCUCGUUCUAUGACGAGGAGAGGUUCGGCAACAACGAGCUGGCUCCAAUGCCAGGAGAAAUUCCCGGGUUCACUUGAAUCACAGGGCAUCAAAUGCAAGUUGAUUUUCCCACAUUUGUAGAGUUGACCGAGAAAGAUAAGGGAGAGAUGAGGUUUGGAUGAUUUCGCAUUGCCAUUCGAGUUGCUAGUAAUAUAGCAGGUAGUAGUGGGCAUUCAAACUUGGGAGUAGCUUUACUUAUUGUGGUCGGGUGGGUGAAGAUGAUGUAACUGCGACGGUAAACAACUGUAACAAACAUACAGUAGUUUCUAAGUCCUGUAAAAGGGUGGAACAAAAUCUGAUUGCACAAAAUGGGGUUUUUCACAGCAGCAUACAACUACAUAACCACACACCUCACACCCCCCUUCGUUUAAGUUUUCCAUUAUAUAUUCUAAUUCUGAUUAACUAUUAUAAUAUAUUAUUAUUAUAUAAAAGAGCCUGCUGCGGUUGAACGGUGAGGGUGGCGGUGGGAGGGGCAAAACGGGAAAUAAAGAAGAGAGUUUUGUUCUAAGGGCAGUGGGAGGGGGAGGUGUUGUUGGAAGCCCUGGCUUCAUGCAGCUGGUGGUUGUGGAGCCCACCUUCGUACACGUACAUAGCCGAGUAAACGCUCACACUGUUGUUGUUGGUGGCUGUGGUGUCGCUGGUGUUGUUAUUGUUGAAGGCAGGCAGACUGCUUGAAGUUGGAGAGGCUGUGGUCGAACUCUCACAGCCGCCCAUCACCAUGCUACUGCUCGGCGUUGCUGCUGCUGCUGCCGACUUGGCGCUGGCUUUGGGGACCCCGCCGCAGACCGAACAGCAAUUCGAAACCUUCCCUCCACAAACAACAACCAAGUGAAUAGAAUAAAACAAAAUGUGUGUUUGGUUGGUGAGAAAAUGCAGGAAAGAAAAGGAAAGGACAGAGGGAGGUGGCGUGCGUACAUUGGGGGAGCGGCGGCGGUAGGUGGUGCCGUCAGGUUCGACGAGCCAGCCGGCCUCGGAGGCGAGAUGGCGGAGGACCUCGUUGAUGUCGGCGCGGGGGGAGAGACCGUAGCCGCCGUGCUUGCGGAGGCCGUGGAAGAUUUUGGUUGUGAUGGCCCUCCUCUGCCUCUCCCUCAUCUUUGUCUUCUCUUUCUCGCUCUCGCUCCUCCCAUGUGUUCCCGCCAUUUCCUCCACUCCCUGAUGCUCUCUCUGUCUCUGUCUCUCUCUCAAAUCCCAAUCAAUUGUUAAUAAUGAUGAAAGUUAAAAGUGUGAGCUUGGUUCUUGAGAGUGUUUUGUAGAACGGUGGAGUAGUUGGGGAGCAUCGGACGGUGCGGGCAAACAGAGCCACGCAGGUUGGAUUGGACGGCUGGGAUGAUUCUGCGAUCUGCAUGCGCUCUCUGUGUUUUAUCUCUUUCUGCAUGACACCGUGACAUGUGUGAGAGAGAUAGAGAGAGUUGAGAGUUACAAGUGCAUGUUUCGGUUUCACGCACUUAGAGAGGGCAGAGGGGGUGUUUUUCUCACGCGCUUCUGAGGCAGUUCCAUAAGAACGCGACAUGGCGGCGGGGGUGGCGGCUCAGCUCAGGAACACAGACUCAGACGGAGCCAAGCAAACCAUAAACCAGCAGGGACAAAGAAGCUGUUUUUUAUUUUUCUUUCAACUUUUGUAAUAAAUUUAUAUAUAUAAAAAAGUAGGACAUGCAUAAUACAGUGCAAAACUAGUAGUAGAAUGUAGUAAGGACACAUCAUGUUUCCUGAAAUUUCAAAUUAAAUUAUACUUACAAGUUAGAAGGUCGAAAUUAGACGUUUGUGACUAUAUGCAUAUAUCCAUAUACUUGCCGGGAAAAAAAAGAAAAAAAAGAAAA